GAUGAACGCUGGCGGCGUGCCUAAUACAUGCAAGUCGAGCGAACAGAUGAGGAGCUUGCUCCUCUGACGUUAGCGGCGGACGGGUGAGUAACACGUGGAUAACCUACCUAUAAGACUGGGAUAACUUCGGGAAACCGGAGCUAAUACCGGAUAAUAUAUUGAACCGCAUGGUUCAAUAGUGAAAGACGGUUUUGCUGUCACUUAUAGAUGGAUCCGCGCCGCAUUAGCUAGUUGGUAAGGUAACGGCUUACCAAGGCAACGAUGCGUAGCCGACCUGAGAGGGUGAUCGGCCACACUGGAACUGAGACACGGUCCAGACUCCUACGUGAGGCAGCAGUAGGGAAUCUUCCGCGAUGGGCGAAAGCCUGACGGAUCAACGCCGCGUGAGUGAUGAAGGUCUUCGGAUCGUAAAACUCUGUUAUUAGGGAAGAACAAAUGUGUAAGUAACUAUGCACGUCUUGACGGUACCUAAUCAGAAAGCCACGGCUAACUACGUG
rnacentral:rRNA from 1 species